CGGGGGUGCGGCAGAAGCCCAGGUGGGGACUUGGGGUGGCCGAGGGGACCCUUGGGCUGCAGGGACUGGGGAGGGGAGCAAGGGGUAUGGCUUAGGCAGGUGCCAGGGGAUGGUUGGUGCCCUUUAUUCUGAAGGGGGAUGUGCUGCCCAGGGUAGCGGGACCUGGAGUUACAUUUUGAGAUUUCCAGGAAAGUUUCAGGUGGAGGCAGAGGCUGGGCGCAGAGGAAAAUGUGGCAGUGGCAGAGUGUGGGGUGAGAGCCGCGAAGAGAGGAGGUCACUGAGGUGGACAGUGGGACAGAGAGAGGGACAGGAGUUUCAGAAAUGUCCUGGACACAUUUGGCAGCCGUCAGCGUUGCUUUCCAUUCAUGGACAAAGCGUGGGUGCCCAGAAGAGGCCAGAAGCCAGUGCAGAAGCCCAGGCCUCCCUGCCGUCACCCGGUGCUGGCUGAGCUGCAAAUGGCUGUGCAGAGCCUCCUCCACGCCUCACCCUGGUCUGGACCGGACCACAGUGCCCUUUGGAUCCUUUCCCAGGUCCCAAGUCUGACCCACACCCAGAAGCAGCGCUUGGUGGAGUCUGCCCUGAAGAUGCACGUCCAACAAUAUGCAAACACCCAGAAGGUUAUAGGCUGUGCAUUGUGUCACAAGGGAGCACUGUGCAGCCGUGACAGAUGAGUGACAACGUGGGGUGGUUCCCACGACCCGCUGCUGAGCACGAAGCACGUGCAGAUGUGUAUCUGCAGCGUGUGCUCUUCAAAUCACAGUGAUGUUUCACAGCCCCCUAAAAUAAACAAUGAAGAUCAACCAGAUUGUGGGAGAAAUUCCAAAUGGAUAUAAACAGUAACAAGCGAACUUCACUGUUCAAAAGGAAUAACUUUACCACCCUGAAUCCAGGGUGAAGGAAAGAAAUGAGUAACUGUGGGCCAGGAACGGUGGCUUACGCCUGUAAUUCCAGCACUUUGGGAGGCUGAGGCAGGAUCACCUGAGGUAAGGAGUUCAAGACCAGCCUGGCCAUCAUGGUGAAACCCUGUUUCUACCAAAAAUACAAAAAUUAGCUGGGCAUGGUGGUGCACACGCCUGUAGUCCCAGCUAUUGGGGAGGCUGAGGCAGGAGGCCUGAACACAGGAUGUGGAGGUUGCAGUGAGCUGAGAUCACACUCAAGCCUGGGCCACAGAGUGAGACUCUAUCUAAAAAGAAAAAAAAAGUAACUUUGGAAAAUAGGAUUUUGAUGGAUACUGUAAGUUUAAAGACAAAAAGAACUGGACAGAAUACUGGAGAUCAAGCUUGUCCAACUCGCGAGGCCGAGG
rnacentral:lncRNA from 1 species